CUCGUAAGAGACCGAUAGCGAACCAGUACCGUGAGGGAAAGGUGAAAAGCACCUCUGUCAGAGGAGUGAAAAAGUUCCUGAAACCGUACGCCUACAAGCGGUCGGAGCAACGUAAGUUGUGACGGCGUGCCUUUUGCAUAAUGAACCUACGAGUUGCCGUCGUCGGCAAGGUUAAGCGCAAUGAUGCGCGCAACCGAAGCGAAAGCGAGUCUGAAUAGGGCGCAUAGUCGGCGGUGGCAGACGCGAAACCAAGUGAUCUACCCUUGUCCAGGUUGAAGUCCCGGUAACACGGGAUGGAGGACCGAACCAAUAAGCGUUGAAAAGCUUCUGGAUGAGGUGAGGGUAGGAGUGAAAGGCCAAUCAAACUUGGAGAUAGCUCGUACUCCCCGAAAUGCAUUUAGGUGCAGCCUCGGGCGUUCCCUGUGUGAGGUAGAGCGACUGAUUGGAUGCGAGGGCUUCACCGCCUAUCAAGUCCAGACAAACUCCGAAUGCACACAGGCUAAGCCCGGGAGUGAGGGCGUGGGUGCUAAGGUCCACGCCCGAGAGGAGAAGAAUCCUGAUCACCGGCUAAGGCCCCGAAAUCCGGGCUAAGUUAAACUAACGAAGUGUGGUCCCCGUGACAGCUAGGAUGUUGGCUUGGAAGCAGCCAUUCAUUCAAAGAGUGCGUAACAGCUCACUAGUCGAGGGACCGUGCAUGGAUAAUAAUCGGGUAUUAAGCCCGGUGCCGAAGCCGUGGGAUGUCUUAAUGACAUCGGUAGGGGAGCAUUCAUGCGGCCUUGAAGCUCGAGGGACAACCUCGGGUGGAGCUUCAUGAAAAGCAAAUGUAGGUAUAAGUAACGAUAAAGAGUGUGAGAUGCACUCUCGCCGAAAGACUAAGGUUUCCGGGGCAACGUUAAUCGGCCCCGGGUCAGUCGGGACCUAAGGCUCAUCCUAAUGGAGAGGCCGAUGGCAGAAACGGUUAAUAUUCCGUUACUAUCUAUUGGGGCGAUGUGGAGACGGAGGAGUGACACUUCCGCGAGCUGACGGAAUAGCUCGUUAAAGACCGUAGGUGUUGAGGAUGGCAGGCAAAUCCACCAUCCGAGCUGAAAGUCGAUAGUAUGCAGCGUCUUCGGACAAUGCAAUAGCGAAGGUAAUCCUACUCCCGAGAAAAUCCGCUAAGCUUAACCCUUUAGAUACCCGUACCGCAAACGGACACACGUAGUCGGGUAGAAUAUACUAAGGCGCUUGGAAGAUUCAUGGUUAAGGAACUAGGCAAAUUGACCCCGUACGUUCGCAAUAAGGGGUCCUCGUCGCAAGGCGAGGCGCAGAGAAUAGGUCCAGGCAACUGUUUAACAAAAACACAGGGCUGUGCAAACUCGAAAGAUGAGGUAUACAGCCUGACACCUGCCCGGUGCCGGAAGGUUAAGAGGAGAGCUUAGAGGCAACUCGAAGGUUUGAAUUGAAGCCCCGGUAAACGGCGGCCGUAACUAUAACGGUCCUAAGGUAGCGAAAUUCCUUGUCGGGUAAGUUCCGACCUGCACGAAUGGUGUAAUGAUCUGGACGCUGUCUCAACCAUGAUUCCAGUGAAAUUGUAGUAUCGGUGAAGAUGCCGAUUACCCGCGAUGGGACGAAAAGACC
rnacentral:rRNA from 1 species